GGAAAGGAUUUGACAAAACGC
rnacentral:misc_RNA from 1 species